rnacentral:rRNA from 1 species
UACAGAGGUCUCGAGCGUUAGGCGGAAUCACUGGGCUUAAAGCGUGUGUAGGUGGAUCGUUAAGUACCUUGUGAAAUCCCACGGCUUAACCGUGGAACUGCUUGGUAUACUGCCAGUCUUGAGCCAGCUAGGGGCUACCGGAACAAAUGGUGGAGCGGUGAAAUGCGUAGAUAUCAUUUGGAACGCCAAUGGUGAAAACAGGUAGCUGGGGCUGUGCUGACGCUGAGACACGAAAGCCAGGGGAGCAAACGGG